CAGUGGGGAAGGAAAUCAACUUUGUGAAACAGAGAGAGACAAACUUCACCUGCAGGAUUUACCUGAUCUUUCUCAGGAUUAAACAACACCUGCUUUUAUUCUCUCGGAUUAAAAACCAUUUCUCUCCAUUGGCGCUAAUGACGUCAUGACGCACUACAAUUAAACCAAAUGGAUCCUGUGGUUCCAGCAUGGCGAAAUCAUGAGCAAAUAAAGUUAACUUCAGUGAAGUGUCACCCAUAGUGCAUGUUGAGAAUCCGACUAUUCACCUGACCGAGAUAACCAGACACCAUGGCUGCAGACGACCACUACCUGCACACCUCCACUCAGAUCUUUGAAAAUCUCAUGAUGGAGCCGCCCUGGGAGUUCACUCACUUCCCCGGGAUGUCCCAGACGACGUCUCUGAGGACAGGUGAGUCCCACCUGCUG